CACAUGCAAGUCGAGCGGCAGCACGGGAGCUUGCUCCUGGUGGCGAGUGGCGAACGGGUGAGUAAUACAUCGGAACGUACCCAGGASUGGGGGAUAACGUAGCGAAAGUUACGCUAAUACCGCAUAUUCUGUGAGCAGGAAAGCGGAGGAUCGCAAGACCUCGCGCUCUUGGAGCGGCCGAUGUCGGAUUAGCUAGUUGGUGAGGUAGAAGCUCACCAAGGCGACGAUCCGUAGCAGGUCUGAGAGGAUGAUCUGCCACACUGGGACUGAGACACGGCCCAGGCUCCUACGGGAGGCAGCAGUGGGGAAUUUUGGACAAUGGGGGCAACCCAGAUCCAGCCAUGCCGCGUGAGUGAAGAAGGCCUUCGGGUUGUAAAGCUCUUUCGGCGGGGAAGGAAUGGCAACGGCUAAUAUCCGUUGUUGAUGACGGUACCCGCAUAAGAAGCACCUACUAACUACGUGCCAGCAGCCGCGGUAAUACGUAGGGUGCGAGCGUUAAUCGGAAUUACUAGGCGUAAAGCGUGCGCAGGCGGUUUCGUAAGACAGACGUGAAAUCCCCGGGCUCAACCUGGAAACUGCGUUUGUGACUGCGAGGCUAGAGUACGGCAGAGGGGGGUAGAAUUCCACGUGUAGCGGUGAAAUGCGUAGAGAUGUGGAGGAAUACCGAUGGCGAAGGCAGCCCCCUGGGUUAGUACCGACGCUCAUGCACGAAAGCGUGGGGAGCAAACAGGAUUAGAUACUCUGGUAGUCCACGCCCUAAACGAUGUCAACUAGGUGUUGGAAGGGUUAAACCUUUUAGA
rnacentral:rRNA from 1 species